rnacentral:rRNA from 1 species
GACAGAGGGUGCAAGCGUUGUUCGGAAUUACUGGGCGUAAAGGGCUCGUAGGCGGCCAACUAAGUCAGACGUGAAAUCCCUCGGCUUAACCGGGGAACUGCGUCUGAUACUGGUUGGCUUGAAUCCGGGAGAGGGAUGUGGAAUUCCAGGUGUAGCGGUGAAAUGCGUAGAUAUCUGGAGGAACACCGGUGGCGAAGGCGGCAUCCUGGACCGGUAUUGACGCUGAGGAGCGAAAGCCAGGGGAGCAAACGGG